rnacentral:rRNA from 1 species
GACAGAGGCCUCGAGCGUUAGGCGGAAUCACUGGGCUUAAAGCGUGUGUAGGCGGAUCGUUAAGUACCUUGUGAAAUCCCACGGCUCAACCGUGGAACGGCUGGGUAUACUGGCGGUCUUGGGCCAUUCAGGGGCGACUGGAACAAGCGGUGGAGCGGUGAAAUGCGUAGAUAUCGCUUGGAACGCCGAAGGUGAAAACAGGUCGCUAGGGAUGUGCCGACGCUGAGACACGAAAGCCAGGGGAGCAAACGGG